AUCAUUCAAUAAACUGAUCUUCCGGAUUACCAUGCUUAAGACAUCACGCCUCCAUAUGUCUAUAUAAAGCGCAAAUGGCUGGAAGUAGACCAAUUUUUUUUGUUCCUAGCUUUUCAUUAUUGAAAUCUAAUCCAGUUUUAAUGGUUUUUCUUAAUUAAGAAAACAAAUUAUCAUUGGUUCGCUCUAGGUGUACAUAUCUUCACU
ensembl:snoRNA H/ACA box small nucleolar RNA (snoRNA); guides pseudouridylation of large subunit (LSU) rRNA at positions U1004 and U1124